rnacentral:lncRNA from 1 species
GUGUUUUCCCGGUCAUAAACUCUCUGUUUCUGUUCUGUUCUGUUCUGUGUGUAUUUAGCCACCACCAGUUCCCAUAGCCCCUUGCCAGAUUGUCAAGUCAUAGCACGUCUUUUCAGCGUUUCUCGUAUUGUCUCUCGUGUUUUUGAUCCCGAUUACCCUGACCGCCGAGUCCUGUCUGAACCUUGCCUGUACUUUCGCCUGGAUAAGAACCCUGCUUGAUCAUUUGACCGUAAGUUUGCCUAGUCCUUGUUUGUACCGUCGCCGUGCUCUUCUGUGUACCGAACCCUGCCUGUUUAUUGGACCUGAGAUUGCCUGCUCCUCGACUGUGCUUUAAACCCGUGCUCCCCUGUGUAUGACCUGGACCGUUUAACUCUGAUUGUGGAAAUAAAUCCUGAUUCCUUCCUCACCACGUCUGCGCGCUGUGCAUUUGGGUCCUCCUCCGUGUGUUCUGACAGGUAAGCCUACUGUUUUGGGUUCUGUAAGAGCUAUUUCCCUGUUUUUUUAGGGAAAUGAGAUAAAUCAAGGAGCAAUGUCUAAACAGGUGAUCUUGGACGUCAUGGAACCGGGCCAGUCUAUGAAAGAUUUACACAGAGGUUCAACAGAGCAGCCCAGAAAACAACUCAAAAUUACUCUCAAGACAACCACACACAGGGCAUUAUGGAGAAAAGUCAGUGGGACCUUAAGAGUAUACGUUUUCAAAGAAGACGACUUACCCAAUUGGAUGACUUUGCGGUGACUUACAAGAUGACCCUGAAUGGUCUUUUGAGAGAGUUCAGAGAUUCAUUAAAGGGCAAGCAAAGGAGAUAUCAUGUAGAUGAGGAGAAAUGGAACCAAAGGAGACAGAGGAAGUGAGCUGUCUAUGUGAGCCCUUUAGUCAAACUCUUUGUAAUGCAAAAGAUGAAGACCUCUGAGAAAAAGAUACAAACACAGACACCCACCAAGGAAACAGGAGAAGAGGCCCAUCAAGAUGACAGUAAUGGACAGUACGUUGAUGCAGACCAAAGUAAGGUCUAUCUUGUGGAUCCUGCAAAAAGUGCCAAAGAACUGGUAGAGUCGGAGCAAGCAGCGAAAAGACUGCGUGACUAUUUCAACAUGAGACGGGCCUGCCACAGCAAAACUGACUGGGUGGAUAAAAAAUGGAAGGGGGCAAUUAUGCAUCACCCAGUUCAGAAAGAUAGCAGUAGCUGUGGGGUCAUUGUGAUUAUGAUGGCCAGGUUAGUGAUGGAGGCCUUCCCAAAUAUGCCAAGUAUGGACUUCAAACCGACAAGAAAACAAAUGGCACAAGAACGCACAAACAUAGCGUGUGAAAUAUUUCACGCUUCUGUGUUCAACACAGACAUUAACUGUGCUAUGUGCUCAACCACAAAGCCACCAGGAUCAGGACCAGCCUUUACAGACUGGGUAAAGUACUUGUGUUGCCUUUAA